GUCCUUAUGAUUUUAUAUAAGGUCAGACCUGCCCCCUGAAAUUUUAAAUGGCCGCAGUAUUUUGACUGUGCUAAGGUAGCAUAAUCAUUAGUUUUUUAAUUAAAAGCUGGAAUGAAGGGUUGAAUGAAAAAAUAACUGUCUUAAUUUAAUAAAUUGAAUUUUAUUAUUAAGUUAAAAAGCUUAAAUUUUUAUAAGGGACGAUAAGACCCUAUAGAGUUUAAUAUAUACUUAGUAUUUAAAGUUUAGGUAUUUAAUUUUAAUAUAUAAAAUAAUAUUUAAUUGGGGUGAUUAAAAAAUUUAAAUAACUUUUUUAUUUAAAACAAUAUAGUUGAAUUAUUGAUCCUAUAAAAUAGAUUAUAAGACUAAAUUACCUUAGGGAUAACAGCGUAAUUAUUUUUGAGAGAUCUAAUCGAAAAAAUAGAUUGCGA
rnacentral:rRNA from 1 species